rnacentral:rRNA from 1 species
UAAUACGUAGGUGGCAAGCGUUGUCCGGAUUUACUGGGCGUAAAGGGCGUGCAGGCGGUCUGCUAAGUCUAGGGUGAAAGCUCCCGGCUCAACUGGGAGAGGUCCUUGGAUACUGACAGACUUGAGGGAGGCAGAGGAGAAUGGAAUUCCCGGUGUAGUGGUGAUAUGCGUAGAUAUCGGGAGGAACACCAGUGGCGAAGGCGGUUCUCUGGGCCUUACCUGACGCUGAGACGCGAAAGCGUGGGGAGCGAACCGGAUUAGAUACCCGGGUAGUCCACGCCGUAAACGAUGAAUGCCAGCCGUUAGUGGGUUUACUCACUAGUGGCGCAGCUAACGCUUUAAGCAUUCCGCCUGGGGAGUACGGUCGCAAGAUUA